UGCAAGGGGUCGAUCAAGCGUUUUGUUCCUCCAAACCCUCUUUUGCUCCUCCUCUCUCCGGCGUGCUAAAUUCUUCACUGAAGCGUGCACAAUUACUUUCUGUGGAGUGUUGGCAGUAAAGGAUAGAGAGGGAAAGAAAGACAACAUGGCAGACAUCGUGCUCCAAACCGAGGAAGGAAGCGGCGGGAUUGUGAUCGACGAUGACUGGCCGGGUUACAGUUUAGAACUCUUCAGCUAUCCUGCACACUACGCAGGAGACCUGGAAUGCGUGGUGGUUCCACAUGGAGUCAUCAUGGACAGAACGGAACGUCUCGCGCGAGACAUCAUGGAUGACCUGGGAGACCAUGACAUUGUGGUCCUAUGCGUGCUCAAAGGGGGCUACCAGUUCUGCGCAGACCUGGUGGACAAGAUCAAGGCGUUGAGCUGCAACUCGGACCGCACCAUCCCCAUGAGGGUCCAAUUUAUACGUCUCAAAAGCUACCUGAAUGACCAGUCGACAGAAGAUAUUCACAUACUUGGAGCAGAGGACUUGUCGUUUUUACAAGGAAAGAACGUACUGAUCGUGGAGGGCAUAAUCGGCACCGGUAAGACCCUGAAGGCUCUCCUGAAGCACGUCGAGGCCUUCAAGCCCAAAAUGAUCAAAGUUGCCGGUCUCGACGAGAGAAUAAGGGUGCGUUCACACUUGUCACGUUUGCUCCGGUUUAAAGGAACCCUGAUUGCUGGUGAAGAGGGUGCCUCACAACACUACACGCCUCCCACACUACGUCGGCUUUGAGAUACCCAAUCGCUUCGUAGUGGGAUACGCGUUGGACUACAACGAGUAUUUUAGAGACCUCAAUCAUAUCUGUGUGAUCAGCGAAAGUGGCAAGCUGAAAUACAAGAUGUGAGGGAAGGAGUCGUGGUCUCACACAUUUCCGCCCUUUUACAGCUGCUAUGGGGACAUUUGUCCUCUGAUGUCAUCGUUCAACAUUCCAUAUGUGAUGCUGCUGUUUAAGCUGUGGUGGGAUUCCUCAUACAGUGGAACCCACGAAAGGUGGCACAUCAAGCUUGGAAACAAUUCACUGUAUUUCAUUGGGAAUGGUCUGUUCCAAGGUCAAACUUGCCACCAUAAAUCUUUUAUCAACUGCACGGACAAGUUUUAGUGUAACAUUUUAUCCUCCCUUUAAUGAACACUGACAAAGACACAAUGCCUCUCAAGUGUUAGUUUUUAACAUUUUAACUUGUCACACAAGUUUAAUUGCUGUCAAAACAGACAAAAUACCUUAGAGUUAUGGCUUGUGUCAAAAUUUUGUGGGAGACAUGCUAGCAUACAUGUAACACAAGUAUCCUAAACGUUUAAUAAUCAUUAGGAAAAUGGUCAAUAACUUAUGGACUUAUAGUUGUCAAGCUCCAGUACGUUCUUGUGAAUGGAGGCCAUGUUUUACAAUCAAACUCUUACUAAUAUGUGCCACACUGUGAACCCACACCAAAGAAGAAUGACAAACACAUUUCGGGAGAAUAUCAGCACCGUAACACAACAUAAACACAACAGAACAAAUAUCCAGAAUCCCAUGCAUCCCUAACUGUUCUGGGCUACAUUAUACACCCCUGCUACCAACAAUGAAUAUUGCAUUGUUGCAUUUCUUUUCACAGUUCAUAUUUUGUUGAAGUAUUAUUCAAUAAAUAUGUAUAUAAUGGA